UCUGCUACACAGCCAGAGCGUC
rnacentral:miRNA from 2 species